rnacentral:rRNA from 1 species
AACGUUUGUAAACUUUCACACUGGGUGGAGUUUAAAACUCAUAAUUCUGUAGGUGAACCUGCGGAGGGAUCAUUC